UCCAAUCGCGCAGAACCUGAGACUG
rnacentral:piRNA from 1 species